rnacentral:rRNA from 1 species
CCGCCGGCACCGGCGCACGGGUGAGUAACACGUAUGCAACCUGGCCGUGACAGAUGGAUAACCGGGAGAAAUCCCGCCUAAUACAACAUAAUGCCGGGAGGGGACAUCCCCUGCCGGUCAAAGGGGGCGACCCCGGUCAUGGAUGGGCAUGCGGCGCAUUAGGUAGUUGGUGGGGCAACGGCCCACCAAGCCGACGAUGCGUAGGGGUUCUGAGAGGAAGGUCCCCCACAUUGGAACUGAGACACGGUCCAAACUCCUACGGAAGGCAGCAG